ensembl:misc_RNA Metazoa_SRP Metazoan signal recognition particle RNA
GCUGGGCGUGGUGGUGGGCGCCUGUAGUCCCAGCUACUUAGGAGGCUGAGGUUGGAGAAUCGCUUGAGCCUGGGAGAUCGAGGUUGUAGUAUGCUGAGAUCGCACAACUGCACCCCAGCCUGGGCAACAGAGUGAGACCCUGUCUCAA